UACGUAGGUGGCAAGCGUUGUCCGGAUUUACUGGGCGUAAAGGAUGCGUAGGCGGACAUUUAAGUCAGAUGUGAAAUACCCGAGCUUAACUUGGGUGCUGCAUUUGAAACUGGGUGUCUAGAGUGCAGGAGAGGUAAGUGGAAUUCCGAGUGUAGAGGUGAAAUUCGUAGAUAUUCGGAAGAACACCGGUGGCGAAGGCGGGUCUCUGGGCCGAAACUGACGCUGAGGAGCGAAAAGCGUGGGGGAGCAAACAGG
rnacentral:rRNA from 1 species